UGCGGUGGGGCCUGUGCUGGUACAGGCAGGCGCCUGUUAAGCGCCCCUUCGCCGGUUCGAUUCCGGCCGCCGCAG
rnacentral:tRNA from 1 species